rnacentral:rRNA from 1 species
UGGGGAAUUUUGGACAAUGGGGGAAACCCUGAUCCAGCCAUCCCGCGUGUGCGAUGAAGGCCUUCGGGUUGUAAAGCACUUUUUGGCAGGAAAGAAACGUCGCGGGUUAAUACCCCGCGAAACUGACGGUACCUGCAGAAUAAGCACCGGCUAACUACGUGCCAGCAGCCGCGGUAAUACGUAGGGUGCAAGCGUUAAUCGGAAUUACUGGGCGUAAAGCGUGCGCAGGCGGUUCGGAAAGAAAGAUGUGAAAUCCCAGAGCUUAACUUUGGAACUGCAUUUUUAACUACCGGGCUAGAGUGUGUCAGAGGGAGGUGGAAUUCCGCGUGUAGCAGUGAAAUGCGUAGAUAUGCGGAGGAACACCGAUGGCGAAGGCAGCCUCUGGGAUAACACUGACGCU